rnacentral:tRNA from 1 species
UAGGGAGUAGUAAAAUGGGAUUACGUAGAGUUUUGAUCUCUUAAUUAUAGGUUCAAUUCCUAUUUCUCUAG